AUAUUUUAGGAAUGGAACACAGGCAGGGCACAGCAAAAGGAUUAGCUACAUGUAUGCUUGAAGAAUUGGGAAAACAAAGCAAUUUCAGUCAAAAUGUGCCUGUCAGAGUCCUCAGCAGGGUGCAGAGCAGUUUCCAAGGUAACCAGCACUAAUUGUUGGCACCGCGAAUCCAGUCAACAACAAAAGCACGGAGGAACCUGUGCUGCUGUGCAAGGCAAAGCAGCCCUAACAUUUUUCUGCGGAAAGAGAAGACAAGAAGUAGCCAUUUGCUAUCUUUGACCAUUUGAAAAGCACGCAGGACCUAUAGAUUUCUCACGCUCCUCCGUCAGGGUUCCUGCUGCUGGUCACCCCCUGAUAACCAGCCAGCUCUGCCAUGUACCAGCAGCGUGGGCCCACCUGUAUCCAGACCAGUGUCUCUCUCUCGCCGACUGUGAAGAGCAGGCUGUACUCACAGAACGUGCACAUCACAUGUGGUGCUGUGGGGACAGCCGAGAGCAGGCUCCAGGUCACUGCAGCCACUGGGAGACGUCUGUGUGCAGAGAAGGAGCCCAAGUGCACAGAAAAGGAGUGAUGGCUGUGGAAAUUCCAGGUCAGAGAGGGGCAGCAUGGGGCGGUUGGGAUAAAACUGGGCAUACAAAGAGAGAAUGUGGGAAUAAAAUGCCAGAGGCAAUGUUAGUGAGAAAAGAGGGUUAGUGAGAAAAAGAAAGAGCUGAAAAAGCAGUUGUUUGGAAGGACUAUAUAUUCUGAAAUAAAAAGCCUGACAGCAAAAGGAAGAGAAAGCAGCAAAGGAUCAGCUGCCUUCACACUUCACCAACAACCUGCACAGGUUGCAUUGCCCUGGAUUUGGCAGAAACCCUUGAUUUGGGGUGAAAGAAAACAGCCCCAACUGAAGUUGUUUCCUACUCUCGAAAACAGAGAGGAAAACAGCUUUCCUAAGUCAGCAGGAGUGCACCCAUACAGCACCAGUACUUCUGCACCUCUGUGCUAUGCCUCUAGCCUGCCAGCUGCACAGUGGCAUGGAAGGAGGAUCAGGCUGCAAACAUGCCUCACUGUAACUGCUGCAGGCUGCGCAGGUUGCUGGGAGCUGAGCCAAAUGGGCUGUGUGCUGCUGUGAGUUAGUCUCAAGGAAAGAAAUACGAACAAAAAAAGUGAGAUAUCUGGGGUUUAUUUUCCUCUCCCCAAAGCGUACAUUGUCUCUAAGUGAAUUUGAUUUCUGUGAAGUAUUCGAUCUAUCCUGAGUGAAAAUGACUCGCUGGAAAGCAGUUAGCAGAUUUUCCUGCCUCAGAGAUAAUGAUAUAUCAUAGUUAUUUUCCAUAUACUGAAUGCAAUUAAAGUUCAAGUAUUUUCCAUGCACAGAAGGGCCCACGAUCUUGUCUAUACAGUUGGGGUGCCUUGAAUUUCCUGCACUUAUGCAUGUCACAAGCAAUGUCUCAAUAACAACAAAACCCCCAGAACAAGACUGCAUUUCCAAACCAUCACCUCAAAAUGAGCUUUCCAGGCACCACUGGUUCUGCUCUGCUGUCAGUCUGCAAAACAGCCCAGGAAAACAUCAGUGUUUUGCUCAGUAUCUCCCAAGGAACAAGUGACGGAGUCAGAGCGAGUUCACAGCCCACUCACUUUGAAUCUUGCUUUGAAUUUCCAGACCAACCUUUUCACAGCUGGUGCGGACAGGCGAUGGAGUAUCAGUGCUCACUUACCAUCUAAUGCUAGCCUCAUUAGGCUGAUUUCCAUCCUUUCAGCUGGCAAAGGCAAGCAAACCUGUAUUAAUUAUCUUUAUGAUUUAAAGUGAGCAAUAGCAACUGUGUAUAACACAAAAAACCCAAGCUAAAACACUAGCACAAACUGCUGGUUCUGCUGUCCUAACUUGGGGUGUUAAUGUUGCAUGAGAAGAGACGACUUGCUCUGUAUUUUCACCUCACAGCUUAAAUCAGCAGGCAAGACAAAGAUGGGUUUUUAUCCCCAGCUUCCUUCUAAUCUUUCAUUUCAACUUCUUGCUUGAACUAAAGCCCAGAUUGCCUUUGCCUUCCCAUUUUAAUACAGGGUAUUAAAAUCAGGGUUAU